rnacentral:rRNA from 1 species
UACGUAGGAGGCGAGCGUUGUCCGGAGUUACUGGGCGUAAAGGGUGCGCAGGCGGCGGUUCGCGUGGCGAGAUGAAAUCUCCUGGCUUACCUGGGAGGGUGGUCGCCAGACGGGAUCGCUUGAGGGUCGGAGAGGGGCGUGGAAUUCCGGGUGGAGCGGUGAAAUGCUUAGAUAUGACAUAGAACACCAAUUGCGAAGGCAGCUUACUAUGCGGUUAUUGACACUGAGGCACGAAAGCGUGGGUAGCAAACAGG